rnacentral:rRNA from 1 species
AUUGAACGCUGGCGGCAGGCCUAACACAUGCAAGUCGAACGGUAACAGAAAGCAGCUUGCUGCUUUGCUGACGAGUGGCGGACGGGUGAGUAAUGUCUGGGAAACUGCCUGAUGGAGGGGGAUAACUACUGGAAACGGUAGCUAAUACCGCAUAACGUCGCAAGACCAAAGAGGGGGACCUUCGGGCCUCUUGCUAUCGGAUGUGCCCAGAUGGGAUUAGCUUGUUGGUGGGGUAACGGCUCACCAAGGCGACGAUCCCUAGCUGGUCUGAGAGGAUGACCAGCCACACUGGAACUGAGACACGGUCCAGACUCCUACGGGAGGCAGCAGUGGGGAAUAUUGCACAAUGGGCGCAAGCCUGAUGCAGCCAUGCCGCGUGUAUGAAGAAGGCCUUCGGGUUGUAAAGUACUUUCAGCGGGGAGGAAGGGAGUAAAGUUAAUACCUUUGCUCAUUGACGUUACCCGCAGAAGAAGCACCGGCUAACUCCGUG